UGCAUAUCAAUAAGCGGAGGAAAAGAAACCAACAGGGAUUGCCUUAGUAGCGGCGAGUGAAGCGGCAAAAGCUCAAAUUUGAAAUCUGGCGCCUUCGGUGUCCGAGUUGUAAUUUGAAGAUUGUAACCUUGGGGUUGGCUCUUGUCUAUGUUUCUUGGAACAGGACGUCACAGAGGGUGAGAAUCCCGUGCGAUGAGAUGCCCAAUUCUAUGUAAGGUGCUUUCGAAGAGUCGAGUUGUUUGGGAAUGCAGCUCUAAGUGGGUGGUAAAUUCCAUCUAAAGCUAAAUAUUGGCGAGAGACCGAUAGCGAACAAGUACAGUGAUGGAAAGAUGAAAAGAACUUUGAAAAGAGAGUGAAAAAGUACGUGAAAUUGUUGAAAGGGAAGGGUUUGAGAUCAGACUCGAUAUUUUGUGAGCCUUGCCUUCGUGGCGGGGUGACCCGCAGCUUAUCGGGCCAGCAUCGGUUUGGGCGGUAGGAUAAUGGCGUAGGAAUGUGACUUUACUUCGGUGAAGUGUUAUAGCCUGCGUUGAUGCUGCCUGCCUAGACCGAGGACUGCGAUUUUAUCAAGGAUGCUGGCAUAAUGAUCCCAAACCGCCCGUCUUGAAACACGGACC
rnacentral:rRNA from 1 species